CAGUCGCCACGGGAACACGGAGGGUGCAAGCGUUAAUCGGAAUUACUGGGCGUAAAGCGCACGCAGGCGGUCUGUUAAGUCAGAUGUGAAAUCCCCGGGCUCAACCCGGGAACUGCAUUUGAAACUGGCAGGCUUGAGUCUUGUAGAGGGGGGUAGAAUUCCAGGUGUAGCGGUGAAAUGCGUAGAGAUCUGGAGGAAUACCGGUGGCGAAGGCGGCCCCCUGGACAAAGACUGACGCUCAGGUGCGAAAGCGUGGGGAGCAAACAGGAUUAGAUACCCGCGUAGUCCCUGUCUCUUAUAC
rnacentral:rRNA from 1 species